AUCUAUUAUUACAUCUCAAGUUACUUCAUCAAUUAGUCGAUUUAUGGUGUCUUCAGUCUGAUUUUUGAUUCCUCCGUUUGUUUGAGGCGUUGAAUCACUGUAAGUAAGGUAUUAAUCUGGUAAUUGAUUUCUAUUUCUUUUUUUGUUUUUUCUAUUUCGCAUGUUAUAUUUGCAUUCAUUAAAUUAAUUAUUUUAUGUGAAUCUUUUUGUCAAUUUUUAACAUCGGUAUUUUGUAGGAGGAAGGGUUGUAUAUACCUCUAAUUUUUGAAUUUAGAAUACCCUCAAAGUUUGAGGGUUUAUUAUUCAUGUUCCCAAGCUUCUUUUUUAAUUUUUUUUAGUUUAUGAGAUUAAUUUAAAUUUAAAAGAUGAUGUCUUUUUGAUGUGUAGAGAAUUUUUGGUUCAGAAUAUAGCAAUCGAUAAAAGAAGGAAAAUGUUGAUUUUGUGAUGAAUCAACAAUCUAUAUACCUAAGUUUUUUUUGUAGACUUUUGACUCUGUUGUAAUUAUAGAUCCCACAAAGUUCUAUUGUGCCUUAUCCCAUUAAAUUAUUUUGUUUAUUUGAGCUUAUCUUGUAUCAAUAAUAAUGACAUUAUAUGCUGAAAGUUGUCCGUAUAUUUUUGAGGUGUCAAUGGUAAUGGAAAUAGAGAGAUUUAGUAGAUUCAAAACCACUAGUUCUUGAUUGAAUGAGUUAAUUAGAUGAUAUAAUUGUUAUAAUAUAAGAUCUGCAUGAUAAAUUGUCAAAAAAGAAGGAAAAACGAUGGGCCUAAUUAUAAUCAAGUUCAAGAGCUUGUAGCCUAGGUAUCAUUCCAAUCUUUUGUAUUUUUUAAAAUCUGUCUAUAUUAAUUUCAAUUUUGAUAAUUUGUUUGUCCCUUUGGUCGCAGUGCUUUCAAAGAUAAUCCACAUCCCGACGAAAAUGCAAUAAUGAAUAAAACCACUGCUACCAAAGGGAGAGAUAUAAAUGAUAAAAAUUGAAAGUAAUACAACCAAAUUUUAAAAAAUACAAAAUUUUGAAGAGAUACUUACUCUUCAAGUUCUUGAACUUGGUAAGCAUUGUAUUUUCUUCUUAUUGAUGAUUUAUCAAGCCGAGGAUUCAUAUCCAAUUUUUAAUUUUUCACUAAUAAACUUGCUCUCAUUUUAAACAUUAUUCGAACAUUUUCUCACCCAUGUCUUUGUAAUUCUUCUUCGACAGUUAAUUCUCAGGGUUAAUUAAUUGAGUUUUUUCCUACUCUUUUAAUUUUUAUACUACAUCAUUUUUAGCCUAUUGUGAGGAACUAUAACCGUUUCUAAGACUCAAACCCUCCUUAUACGUUCAUUCUCUCAAAACCCUCAAGUCUUCUCCAAGUUUCUCUCUCUCAAGGGAAAUCAAAGAAUCCUCAAGCUUCAAGUGUGACACCACAGAAAUUUCUAAGCUAAUGCUCAAACAAUUAUUCAUUUGCGUGUAAGGUCGUAUGAGGUGAUUUUUAAAUUGUUCUUAGGUGUUAAUGUCAAUUCUUUAGUAUUGGAAUUGAUCUGAAUAUGAAUUACGGUUACAAGAAUAUCCUAACACAAAGUCGAGUUGAAAGCUUCUAACCAAUCGGAUUUUGAAAUAAAAUUCUGCUUAAGUCAACUACAGUGGCUCUUGACUUACCAAAUUGAAGUUUUUUGAGUCCUCGGUCAAUUGGAGAAGACAUUGGGAAAGAACUAUAUGUUGAACAAAAUAAAAUUGAGCAAGUAGCUAAGAGACUCUGCUGGAAAAAAGUUUGUUGAGAAGAAUGAUAUCGCAAUAUGGCAGAAGCCGUUCAAUCAAUUUCGAAAGAGAAACAAAAACCCACCAAUGUGUCAGAUUCUGAUUUAGCCUGGUAUACAAAGAUUGAAACUUGCUUAACUCCUUUGCCAGAAGUUGCAGGUGAAGAAGAGGUUGCCGGUAGACAGUUGGAAAGUGGCCUAAACGAUUAGUCACAAUACCACCGAGGAUAAGCAGGGGAACUGUAGAUGGAGUCACAGAAGAAGUUUUCCAGAAGGAUUCAGAGCUAUGGAAAAGAAGUGUUUCUUAUUACAAGUCAGUGAAUAACCAGCUUGACUAGCCUGGGCGAUACAGAAACAUCUUAGAUAUGAAUGCAUUCCUAGGUGGCUUUGCAGUAAAUUUUGUCAAUGAUCCUGUUUGGGUGAUAAAUAUAGUUCCCGUUGAGGCUAAGGUCAAUACACUUGGUGCCAUUUAUGAACGAGGACUAAUCAGAACAUACUAGAGCUGAUGUGAAAUGGAAGAUAUUAUGAUAGGAUAUUAAGGCCAGAGGGAAGUGUAAUAAUCCGAGACGACGUAGAUAUAUUGAUCAGAGUGAAAAGGAUAGCGGAUGGAUUGAUCAUGAAGAUGGUCCAUUGGAGAGGGAGAAGCUUUUCUUUGCAGUAAUGACAUACUCGACAGCUCCAGCUACUCAACCAUCUAAAACUACUUAAACCAUCGUUGUUGUAAUCUUUUUUUUUUUGUUCAUCCUCGCUUUCUUGUAUUCUUUCACUUGUUAAAUUGUAGUAGUAGUAAUAUUACUUGCAAAUUGUAAACUCUAGGUUUUAGUGAUUCUUCUGCAAUUCCAAUGAAGUCAUGAGUUCUGUGCUAA